rnacentral:rRNA from 1 species
UGCAAGUCGAACGGUAACGCGGGGCAACCUGGCGACGAGUGGCGAACGGGUGAGUAAUAUAUCGGAACGUGCCCAGUAGUGGGGGAUAGCCCGGCGAAAGCCGGAUUAAUACCGCAUACGACCUAAGGGUGAGAGCGGGGGAUCGCAAGACCUCGCGCUAUUGGAGCGGCCGAUAUCAGAUUAGCUAGUUGGUGGGGUAAAAGCCUACCAAGGCGACGAUCUGUAGCUGGUCUGAGAGGACGACCAGCCACACUGGGACUGAGACACGGCCCAGACUCCUACGGGAGGCAGCAGUGGGGAAUUUUGGACAAUGGACGCAAGUCUGAUCCAGCCAUGCCGCGUGCGGGAAGAAGGCCUUCGGGUUGUAAACCGCUUUUGUCAGGGAAGAAAUCCUUUGAGCUAAUACCUCGGGGGGAUGACGGUACCUGAAGAAUAAGCACCGGCUAACUACGUGCCAGCAGCCGCGGUAAUACGUAGGGUGCGAGCGUUAAUCGGAAUUACUGGGCGUAAAGCGUGCGUAGGUGGUGAGGUAAGUCGGAUGUGAAAUCUCCGGGCUCAACCCGGAAAUGGCAUUGGAAACUACCUUGCUAGAGGAUUUGAGGGGGGAUUGGAAUACUUGGUGUAGCAGUGAAAUGCGUAGAUAUCAAGUGGAACACCAGUGGCGAAGGCGAAUCCCUGGAAAAUACCUGACACUGAGGCACGAAAGCUAGGGGAGCAAACAGGAUUAGAUACCCUGGUAGUCCUAGCCCUAAACGGUGCUUGCUUGCUGUAAGAGGAAUCGACCCCUCUUGUGGCGGAGCUAACGCGUUAAGCAAGCCGCCUGGGAAGUACGGUCGCAAGAUUAAAACUCAAAGAAAUUGACGGGGGCCUGCACAAGCGGUGGAGUAUGUGGCUUAAUUCGAUGCAACGCGAAAAACCUUACCUG